AUGUUAAAGGCAAUACCAGGGCAAGGGAGAGCAGUAAACCAGAGGGGCCGCAAUCAGCUCCUGGCUAGAGGUCAGGAACGCGGAGCUGAGCUGGGUCAGGAGGACCAAAGGGGUGAGCCAGGCCAAAUGCAGGGCUGAGAAGGCAAAAACUCUAGAAGAAGCUGCUUAAGAGAGGCUCGUCUUAAUGAGAGACAAGUACACUAGAAAAUAUUGCCUGCUAACAGUAUUCAUAAGCUGCUCCCAAAAUGUUUUGAUUAAACUGCUGUUGUCUUUCUAGUGUACUAAUGGUUUUUAAUCUCUCUUGAUGCCUUGGGUCUGAAAGUCAAUGAAGACUCCCUUCUCUUACUAGCUAUCAUCANUAUCCUAUAAAUCUCCCCCUUUCUCAGAUGCGCAUCACUAUUGUCACUGCAAUACUAAUUCCAAAUUUUACUAAAUAUACAUAAAAGUACCUCACCCCUAUUGUUCUGGCUAUAAUCUGACCACCUACGGAAACUGUAUUGCCCUAAUCUCUUUAUGCAAAUGCCUUAGCGAAGACGACUAACAGGCGCUUUAUCACAGUGUAUCACUUACAUCAGUCAUAGUAUGACUUUGAUUAUCUCAAGCAUUGAUNNCCAAGAGCACUGGAAAUAUCAACCUAAGCUGCAGUCACGUCCUCGAAUAAUCUCCUCCGUGCGCUCGCCUUUCAACCUUGAUAAUUUGUUACAGCCUCCUUACAUGAACUCACAAAUAUUUAUUAAUACCANNUACGUCUUUAUGAGAUAAUCAUCGUUAUUCAUUUUUUCCUAGAAAUGACUUGCUAAUNNAUGAUAAUAACAUCUGCCUAUCCGAUUUCGUACUAAUACCAAUGUGUACAAGCAACUUUUACUUUUCCUGGAAGCGGUAAAUAAAGUUUUAAUUUCAGAACCUUAAUCCCUAUCAGNNNCAUCAUGNNCGUUAUUUAAANAAAAGUAACAGGCCCCCUGCCCCUUUAAUUUUCUUCAAAAAUGCAGGCACUUGCUAAUCCGAUAAUCCAAUUUCCUGGGAUUACCUGGGUUUACAA
rnacentral:misc_RNA from 1 species